rnacentral:tRNA from 1 species
GGACAGGUGGCCGAGCGGCUGAAGGCGCCGGUUUGCUAAACCGGUAUACGGGAUACCGUCUCGUAUCGCGGGUUCAAAUCCCGCCCUGUCCG